AAAUCUAGGUCCUUGGAUAGAACCAUAUAGUUAGCCUACCAGCUGGCUAUUAGCCAAUAAAAAUAAUCAACAAACAUCUUGGACUAUAAUCCAGCAAUCCACUUAAAAGGAAUAAUGGUCAACAUCUUCAAGAAGCUGGACAUUCAAAAUAAGAAAAAGACUAUUAUUCAGCCUUAGCAGAGAAGUCCUGUUUUAUCAAGAUUUUGCUAUCAGCUCUGUGACUGCAACGCAACCUACAACACCCAUGGAGGACAGAAGGGAAGCUAGGGCUAUCAGAUAUAGUAAAGUAGAACACGGGGCUAGUGUAACCAACUUCAGUGGUUUCACAAAAGCAGUACUCUCAGCAAGAGCCAAUUUCUCAUUCUUGCAGAGUCAUGAAAAACUGGAUCCUAUAAAAUUCAUUCCUAUGCCGUUAAUUAAAGGCACUUGAGUCUUUUGCCUAUGGCCUUCCCCACCUGAGUCAAAAAGCACCAGUAACGUGGGUAGUCGAGAUCAGGAAAGCAGAACAUGAGGAAGAAGAGGUCAGCUUAAAUAGUGACUCCAUUUUCCAGUUCACAAGACCAGUCCCAAUACCCAGAGGUUGGAGCCACAGUGCUGGGAAAGGGUUUCUUCUUCACACAGUUUUCUAAUCAAAAUCCACCUUUCCCUGAAGAUGGGGCUAAUGGGAGCUUCAAGGUUGAUUCAGUUUAGCCUCCAUGGGGCUAAUGGCAGCUUCAGGAUUGGAGAUAAGAGCAAGAGCAAGAAAACCCCACGUGGAAAGUGUUAAACAUCCCUACCCCUUAGAAUCACAGCCCCAAUCCAAUCACUUCCUGCACGAUGGCUUCUUUUAACUGUGAACAAAUUUAAUGGGAGAUCCUGUUCAACAGUCUCUUGCAUCACAGGAUUUGCUUCUUCUUGCUUUAUUAGAUAUUAGCUACAGUUUCUGCAAAGUACAGUACAGAAACAUGUCUGACUGCUACUCCCCAUAAAUCAGCAAGGGCCAGAUUCUCAGUGGAUUGUAUCCAUGUUGUCUAGGUUCUCAUCUUCUUCAUCUGGCACAAGCCUCUCCAAGCAACCUCGCACAUAAAUAUAUGGAAUGAUGCCAAGCUCCAGAUAACUCGGAACCUAUUCUUGUUAAACAUUUAUAUAAAUAUGUAGAGACUAUUAAGAAUGUUUUUUAAUCAGUGAAAUGUUUAGAUUCUGCUGAAAUGGAUUCACUCACCUGGGAAACUUCUUAUCCCAGGAUUUAUAGCUGUGGGGGAAAAAGAGACGCCCAAUACUGUUAAACACAGGAUGACAGCAUUAGCUUCUAGAUGACUAGUCCCAUCUUUCUCCACUGUAAGCUCAUCAGAUAAACCCUGCAGCAUAAGAAAAUUGCUGCCCUUACCCCAAGGUGCUAAUAAAUCCAUUUGUUGAGCCUUCUGCAUACAAAGAACAAAUGUCUCCGAUAUGCAAGAAGCUUGACAUCUUGUCGGACAUCUCUGGCUUGGCGGCCCUAAGGGAAGAAAAAAGAAAAAAGGACAGCCAUCAAUAUUAGGCAGGAGACCUUUCCUACAAUAUACUCUAAGGAUGACUAAAUGAAGCCAGUGGAAGCUCUGCCACCAAUUUCUCUGGUUCUCAGUCAGUGUUUACAGUAUCAGGCUUUUCCUGAUUGCCAGAGGUCAUCUGUCCCUAGCAGACAUGGGAGCUAGAAUCUCAUGCUUGCAUUCACCCUGAAAAUCAAUGGGAGCAAAGCAUAUAAACUGAAAUCAUGAUGGCUUGGAAGAUACACGUCUCAUGAACAUCAGCUACCCCCCCCCCCCAAAAAACAUGAACAUCUCUCAAAAGGACUUACGUCUUGAGGUGGUACAAACCA